GCCUCGUUAGCUCAGUUGGUAGAGCGUCAGACUUUUAAUCUGAAUGUCAGGGGUUCGAGCCCCCUACGAGGCC
rfam:Pristionchus pacificus strain PS312 contig1687, whole genome shotgun sequence.